AGGCUGUGGUGUGGGCAUUUGAGAAGUAGCUAGUUGAAAUGCUCCCAUGCUUCAAAGAACAAAUCUCCAUCUCUUUGUUGGAAGUUUUGAAUAUCCUUCCUCAGUUG